rnacentral:lncRNA from 1 species
UUCUUUUAAUUGAAUGAACUUAAAAGUAAAUAAGAGUAUAAGAAAAAAAGAAAACCAUAUCUAUUUUAAAACAUUUGUCUGACACUGGCAAUCAUACUAGCUUAACAUACAAGUCUAAUAAUACCUAUAUACUGGAAACUAGGUUAUUGUUUUAUGUAGGAGUAGAAAUAACAGUAAUUUGUUCAUCAGAGAAACUUGUUUUGAGUGCAUAUUGUGUUGUAAACAAACGAUUUUGAUCAGUUUGUGACCAAGCUUUCAUGAGGAAAGAUUUAGUGAGAGAGUAAAUCUAGAAUGUUAUUCAUUGAUUUAUUUUUUUUGAGAUCCAAUUGUAUCUUUAGUUGCAUUUUAUAGUACAACUGACUAGCAAUUCAAUGUUAAUAAAUGGUAUUAGAACUAGACACUAAACUAAUUUGGUGAAGAUCUUACUAUUGAAUUGUUGAGACAUGAAAGGAAGCUUGAUUUUUAGAUCCCUAUCCUCGAUUGCUCCAACUACGCAUUUUAAAAAACACACAUGAUUACAUUUAUUAGUUUCCUCGAUAAGAAGACAUGGAGGACAGUGCUUACUAGUUGAGAUCCACCGGCAAUUGAAGUUGACGGUGUAAGGACAUCCAAGCCAUAGACUACCUAUAUUAUUAAGAUAAGGUAGGCAACUUCAACUCCAAGACGUUAAAUGUCGUCUUUAAUGGAGUAGAGCUCCAGGAAUUAAAGAGACUAUUGUUGUAGGCCAAUUUUGGCCCAAAUACAACCAAAUACUCACCCCAAUUUCAUCAGCCCAACAUCAUCAAACCCAAUCUAAACCAACAGCCCACCUAAACUAACCUACUAAACAUUUUCCAGCAAAGAAAAAACACUAGCCACCUCCCCACUUUCCUCUGACACCAGCCACCAUCACCUGCUCCACCAGUCACCCCCAUACCCUGCAAAAACAGAGCAAACAAGCAAGACGGGAAAAUAUGGCAAAAGUAAUAAAAAAAUUUGUAAAAGAUUACUAUAAAAAGCCAUUCAAAAAUGCUGUAAAAAGGGGGGUUUAUUUUUUUUUAAAAGAAAGAUUGUAACACAGAUAUUGGAAAUAAAAACGGAUACAAAAACAAAAAAAGAGAAGGAAGGUUCAAGAGGUUUAGUUUUGUUCUUCUUUUUUUUUUCCCUUUUUUCUUCUUUUUGUUCUCUGCUUACCUUGUUUUUUUCAUAUUUAUUCAUUGUUUUUUUUUCCUUUUCUUUUUUCAAGAAAACCUUUUUUUAACAAAGAAACAUAAAAAAUUUUAAAGUAGGCGUACCUAGGUUGCGCUCCUUCGCUGUACACGGCGGUCACCGCCGUCGUCGUUGGCGAUAGGGCGGGUCUCUAAGGAACCCAAUCGACAGAAAGAAAAAGGGGGAGGGGAAGAGAGCAUGGAAGUUUUUUUGUUUUUUUAAGAUUGGGGGUUGAAAAUGAAACACAAAAAAAAAUCUUUGUUUUUAAAUAAUGGUGUUGAAACGGCAUUAUUUUGUUUGGUGGGUGGGGUCUGUACACUUUCUCUAAAAGGGAAAUUUAUGCGUUUAGUCCUACUCUCUCGCAACCUCAUUCAAUUAACCCACAUUUUCUAUAUUCUUUUGUUUUUUAAAUUUGGCCCUCAGAUCUUGUUUGGUUUUCGUUUUGAUCCCUAAUUAAUUAUCCAAUAUUUAUACUUUUAUAUCCCGAAUUUUAAUUUGUUUUUAGCCAUGUCCUAAAUCUAUUUAAUUUAUUUAUUAACCUUUUUUUUAAAAUGUUUCAUUUAUAUGUUAUUUCAAAUAUUUUAUAUGUUGUUUAUUUACAUCAUUAUUGUAAAUAUUUUAUAUACAUAUUUUUUUGUACAUUUCCUAAUAUUUUCUUUUAUUGUAGAUAUUAUUAUUAUAUACUCUUAUUAUAUGCAUAUAUAUGAAGUAUCUUUUAUGUACAUAUUAUUUUAUAUUAUUAUUACCAAAUAUAUCAUUUUUUCUUAUUAUUAGUACAUGAUUUGUUUUUAUUUUCUUUUUUUGCAAAUGUCAUUAUUAUUGUUAUAAUAAUUUCUAGUAUUCCAUGUUAAAAUUUUUCAUUAAUGAUAUCAUUGUUUGCGUCGUUUAUCUAUUUUUAAAUUCUCACUUUAGAAAUAUUUUUUUCUUAUGUUUUAAUUAAUUUCAAUAAAUAAAGCAACGCGCCGAUUUAACAUUAAGUCGUAGAUUUCAUCGCUAUGUUGGGUGGAAUUUGUCAGCUCGUGCUAAAGACGGAACACCCUUCUAAAAAACCAAAAAAAAUAAAAACUAAAAUUUUUCGUCUUUUCAAUCGGAUCACGAUUAAAUAUUACAUUGAACUCGCAUUUUUGAAAAUCAAGACAACACGUGUUUAUAAGAUACCAAUUUUGGGCGUCGCGAGGGUGCUAAUACCUUCCCCGCGCGUAACCGACUCUCGAACCUUAUUUUUCUCUGGACUUUUGACGUAGACCUAAACUCGGCCUUCCUUUUGUUUUAAAAAAUAAAUCUAAUAGGUGUCCGAUCACACCUAGGAAAAAGGAUCGAUGGCGACUCCCUCUUUAUUUUAAAAUCAAACUUCAGUUUUCAAGUUUUCAAUAAAUCGCCACAAUUAGCGACCAAAUCUAAACAUUUUUACGUCGCUACAGCUGGCGACUCCGCUGGGGACUUCUAUUUUUGAGAGUCGAGUUGAAUUAAACGCGUGUUGUCAAAAUUUUCAAAUUUCCGUAUUCAAAUUAAUAUUUAAUCAUGAUCCUUAAGUUUUGUUUUCGAAAAAAAUCAUACAUACAUAUCUCCUAAUUUGUUUUAUCUUUUGUUUUUCAGCUUUAAGUUUUACAGUUUUAGUUUUGUAGUUUUAAAAUAAAUGAAAGGUUUGCAAGUUUCUCCCUACGCACCGUGCACUUGCAUUUCGCAUAACAUGAGCUCUCAACCCGGGCCCCGUCCGUUUAAGUGAAAGUAAACGCUACGCCUUCGUGGGUUAACUCGUCCCUCCGCACAGGCUAGUGAAUACUUUCGGGUUACAUACAACUUAUGCUUUCGUGAGUUAACUUGUCCCUCCGCAUAGGCAUAAGUAAAUGUAAUCCCUCGAAUUGAACUCGUGUGAUGGGCUAUGACCGAGGCUUCGUACUAAUCUUAGCAGAUGACAGUACGGACAAUUCGAGUACCUAUCUAGAACCAAAACCGCAUAUAAUGAACCAUACGAGCCACCUAACUAGAGCCAUGCUAAACCUCCAUCCGUUUAGUAGUCACCAAAAUAAGCGCACGGGAGGAACGCCUCUUGCCUUUUGCAUUUUCACUGUCUAUACGAAGGGGAUUGAGUCUGUUUAAUAAACUAGAUUUGGGUAAUUUGAUUCGUUCAAUUUUUCAUAUUUUUUCUGUCUGUAUUUAAUUACUAAUCAAGAUUAUUUGUCUUUGCCGUAUUGUUUUUCAUCAUGCAUUAUAGGCAUCAUAUUAGAAAGGUGUUGACUAAAGAUCGGUUGCCAAAAAAUGGGUUUUUAAUGGAAGAGUCAAUUAUACAAACAACCGAGGAAAAUGCCGUAGUCCGAGAUUGGUCUCUAAAAACUCAGAAAGAAAAAGGGGAUAGUCUAGUGGAGGGAUGUAUUGCCAAUUUGCCCGAGCACGUAACUGUAAAUGUUCGCCAGAAUAACCUUGAAGAUUUGGUUCGGGUUUGGAAUCAGUGGGACUCGGAUACUAGAGGUAUCUUCGCCGAGAGAUAUGGAGACAUAGCCAACUUGAUUGCUGUCAGCGUAGACGAACGAUUGAUCCAAGCCAUGGUUAGAUUUUGGGAUCCAGCCUACCACUGUUUUACUUUCAAUCAGGAAGACAUGACCUCGACUAUAGAAGAGUACACUGCUUUGCUCCGUGUCGAUAAUAUACAACCUUAUAAGAUAUAUGUGCAAGAGCCUAAGCCAAUGACCUUCAAGAAAAAGUUAGUAAGAGUGACAGACAUGACUGACGCGUGGCUCGAAAAAUAGAUAAAGAAGAAGAAUGAAACCAUUUGUAUCUCAUGGUCUUCCCUACGAGACUUGGUUCUAAACCAUCCCGACAUGUUGAAAAGGGUAAAUCUGUUCGCUCUGGCCAUUUACGGUUUGAUCAUCUUCCCGAAGGUCCUUGGACACAUAGAAGUUGCGGUGGUAGAUUUCUUCGAAAGAUUAAAACAAGGAAUCAACCCCGUCCCAACUAUCCUGGCCAAAACCUUCAGAUCACUAAGUAGCUGUAGGAAGAAAGGGGAAGGCCGAUUUAUCGGAUGCGCGCAGUUACUUAAUGUUUGGAUUCUGAGUCACUUCUGGAAAGUAGAGCGCGCACCGUUCCAUAUGUUUUCUAAAACAUUCUCCCCGUUAGAAGCUUAUCUCAAGAAAGAAUGGCCGAAGGAGAUCACUGAACAACACUGGGUCUCAGUCUUUUAGAAUCUUCGCGCCGAUGACGUAACUUGGAGAGCCCCGUGGAUACGCCCGUUAGUUCUGCUAUACAAGGUCAGAGAUCAAGAUUGGGUGCCACUACUCGGAUUAUGGGGAGGAGUCGGAUAUGCCCCAUUAUUAGUCCAAAGGCAAUUUUCUUCGCGGCAAUUCAUACCCGCCACUGGCGGAUUGGCACAAUCCGAGUUCGCUUUCGCGGGUGAAGGAUAUAUGAAGAAGGUCUGAGACAAUGCAAAAUCUUAGAAGAAAAUUCAUCUAAUGGAAUUGGCCUUAUAUGCUGAUACCCUAACUCAAGAUUACGACAUAUGGAGGAAGCAACGGAUAAAUAGUCAGCAGAUUUCAUUAACAACUCCACCGUCCAGAAUCCUUUCUCAGAGGAAAUGCCGUCUGAGCUAGAAAUAGCAAGACAAGAAUUUGAACGAGAAAAGGCCAAGAUGUCUCGGGACCUUAAUGGCCUUCAAGAAGAAAACUACCAAUUGAAGAUUGACAUUCAGAUUGAAAGAUCCAAAAUCGAGAAAGUGCAAAAAGAAGUUGAAGUCGUGAGAAAUGACUUAAGAGACCUCCAUCUGGAAAAUAAAAAGUUAAGAGGCACAAUGAAAAAUAGUGGGCUGGGCAAGUCAUCGGCAGAAUGGAAAGAGGAGAUAAGCAACAUUAAAGGAGGGAUGGAAUUUUGGAAAGGAAAAGCAAAGAAAGAGGAAGAAAAGGCUGCACAGGCUAUGAUAGAAUUGAGGAAGAAGAACGCCGAAUAUGAAGUAGUGUCUGCCGAGGUGAUGACUAGUCGAUCUAAACGUCAAGAACUAAAAGAAAGGAUACGAGAGUUAGAAGAUAUGCUGCAAGAUCGUCAACAACAGUUAGAUACUCUCUUGAAGGCUUUGGAAGAAAAAGAUUGUCAGUAUGAUAGAGACAUUCGUGCUUGCGAAGAGGGCCUCCAGGAAAAAAAAGGCAACUUAGCUAUUUGAUCAAUAAAGUUCGUGGGGUAGCCAUGCACGUGGUACAAUUAUCGGAAGAAGCUAAAAAUCUCAGUUACCAAUUCCCACCAAGCCAACGAUCGAGCAUAUCGAAAUUCCUAGAGCGAAUAAAGAAAUAUGGCGAUAUAGCUAGAAAGUUUGUGUAAUAGCUGAAUCAAAAAUGGCAAAAUGUUUUGUAAUGAACUCUUUUGAUGAAUGAAAUGCCUAAAUAGGGGCUAUCUUGAAAUCAACACCAAUUCCUUACAUGUCAUUCAUGACUAAUAUCCAUUUGACAUUCAAGCAUUCAUGCAUUUAUUCAUUCAUUCAUGGCAUAUCCCGUACUCAUUUGCUGAGGUUAAAAUGUACAAUUCGCAGUUGUAAUACUUCAAAUCUGGAACCACGCCACUCGUAUAGAACGCGUCGGCAAACUAGAACAAUGGAGGCUGAAUUCAAUGAAAGGAUUGAAAGAAUGGAAAGAAUCCAAAAGGAAUUACAAGAGCAGUUGGCUAGGUCACAGCAAGAGACGAGAGACUUAAUGGUGAGAUCACAAGAAGAAUCGCUCGAACAGAAGGAUCAAAUGGCCAAGAUGAUGGAGAUGAUGUCAGCUUUAGUUAAAAGAAAUGGACCCAUGCAGAGCCCUGACAUCGAGGAAUCUUGGUCAAGAGUUAAUCACAAUCAAGACUCGCUCUAUCCCCCUGGAUUCACUCCACCACACGCCCGCGCAGCACAAAGAGGAUACACCCAAGGAGAACCCACAGACCCAGAGCAACGGUCGGUGCCACAUACUCAUUUAGGGCAAGGAAUAUUCAUAUCAAAUUCUGGAGCUAAUCCCGCCAAUCCAAUUGUUCCAGAUUUGGACGAUCUAGCGGAAAUAGCCAGGUUGAGAACGGACGAUCAUGAGGCUUAAGAGAAGUAUAUGAGCUUAGAGGAAAGACUCAAAGCAAUAGAGGGUACUGAAGCUUUCUCUGCACUAAGUGCCAAAGAGCUCAAUUUGGUGCCCGAUCUAGUUCUGCCUCUGAAGUUCAAGGUGCUUGAUUUCGAAAAAUACGAUGGCACGAGAUGUCCAAAGGCGUAUCUUGUCAUGUUUUACCGAAAAAUAACUGGUUACGUGAAUGAAGACCAACUACUCAUACAUUGUUUUCAGGACAGUCUAGUAGGAUUGGCUCUUCGGUGGUACAACCAGCUUAGUAGGGAAAGGAUCCGAUCUUGGAAAGACUUGGCAUCAGUAUUCUGUGAGCAAUACAAGCAUGUAUCGGAUAUGGUACCAGACCGAAUGACUUUUCAAAUGAUGGAGAAAAAGCAGUCAGAAACUUUUAGACAGUAUGCGCAGAGAUGGAGGGAUGUCUCAGCCCAAGUGGAACCCCCAUUAACGAAAACGGAGAUAACCGUUCUUUUCAUCAACACUUUGAAAGCACCGUUUUAUGAUAAACUAGUGGGAAGUGCCACGAAAGACUUUGCGGAUAUUGUAAUAUCCGGUGAGCUUAUAGAGAAUACCGUUAAGAGCGGUAGAAUGGAAGGUCAAGAAAGUUCAAGAAGGGCAGCGCCCAUGAAGAAGAAAGAACCAGAAGCCUACAUGGUGGGAAUGGGAAGCCGUUAUGCCCCUAACCUUUAUUCAAACCAACCCCGACCUCAAAAUUAUCCUCCUCUGAAUUUCUAUUAUCCUCCUCAAACCCCUUACUACCGAGCACCACCUCCUUUCUACCCCGUAUAUGCCAUGAACAACCAAAGGCCCGUCACUACAUUCCCACAAAAUACAAUACCCGCCCAAGGUCAACCCAAAAAUGAGCAGAGGCCAGCAAAACCCUAUUCUGAGAAACCACAAUUUACCCCUAUUCCUGUGUCAUAUGGGGAGCUGUACCCAAAAAUUUUGGAGAAGCAAUUAAUAUCCCCGCAUUAUAUGGCACCCUUGAGGCCCCCAUACCCGAAAUGGUACGACCCAAACACUAGUUGUGCAUACUAUGCAGGAAACCAGGGACAUUCGACGGAAAAUUGCCUAGCCUUUAAGAGGAGAGUUCAAGGACUAAUUGAUGCGGAUAUCCUACGAUUUGAUAGUGCCUGUAAUGCAACUGGGAACCCGUUCCCUAACCAUACUGAAGGAAAUGUGAGCACAGUGGGGAAAGAAGAUGAAUGGCAAGUUAGAAGAUGUGUUUCAGAAAUAAAGACGCCUCUGCAGAAAAUCUGGGAGGCACUGGUUAAGAAUAGAUUGCUCUGUCACCUCGACGAUAAUCUCAAAAAAGAAUGUCAGGUUUUUUGUGAUUUUCAUGGAAUUGUAGGGCACGGCAUUCAAUCAUGUGAGGAAUUUAAAAGGUUAUUGCAAGACCGGAUAGAUAAUAAGGAGAUUGUGUUCAUUAAUCAAGGAGAGGCCAAUGAGAAAGAAGUAUGUGCCUCUGACAAUCAAUCGUCAAGUUGUCCGUAUAGCGCCGAUCGACCAUUCGUAAUUUAUUACGAUGCAAGGAAGGAACCGGUGAAACCAAAAAUGAUGAUUGAAGUACCGUCUCAUUUCCCUUACAAGGACAAUAAAUCAGUACCGUGGAAAUAACGUUAAUAUCGUCACACCUGAAGAUGAAAAACCCAAUGCCAUGACUGGAGGCGUCGGGGAAGUAGGUCAUUUCACUUGUAGUGGAAGAUGUUAUUCGAAGGAGGUGAAGAAGAACAGUGACUUGAAACAGAAAGGAAAAGCACCGAUGCACAUGACCAAAGAAAAGCAUGAAACUGUGCCUGAACAAGAAGCUAAAAAGCCUAUGGACGAGGAGGAAGCACAGGAAUUUUUAAAAUUUAUCAAGCACAGUGAGUACAACGUGGUAGAACAAUUAAGUAAGCAGCCAGCACGAAUCUCGGUAUUAUCUCUGCUGUUGAAUUCAGAACCAUACCGGAACGCUCUGCUGAAAAUGUUAAAUCAAGCUUAUGUGGCAAACAAUGUAUCCGUUGAAAAAUGGAUAGAUGGAUGAACAACUUGAAUGCGGAUAAUUUCAUUUCCUUUAGUGACGAUGAAAUAUCGCCCAAUGGUAGAGGCUCAGUGAAAGCAUUGCAUAUCACAACCCGUUGUAAGGGCUAUAUAAUAUCGAACGUGCUCAUCGAUAAUGGAUCGGCACUCAAUGUCAUGCCUUUGGCCACACUUUCCAAGAUUCCGAUGGAUUUGUCCUAUCUAAGGCCCUGCCAUUCUACAGUAAGGGCAUUCAAUGGAACAAGACGAGAAGUUAUGGGAAAACUCGAGAUCCCUCUAGAAGUGGGUCCCUACAUAUACAAUAUUGAGUUUCAAGUCAUGGACAUUACACCAUCAUACAAUUGUCUCUUGGGAAGACCUUGGAUCCAUUCUGCUGGAGCAGUACCAUCAUCCCUCCAUCAAAAGGUGAAAUUUAUCAUGGAUGGUUGUUUGGUCACUGUCUAGGGAGAAGAAGACAUUGUCGCAUCUAUCUCUGCUGAUGCACCCUACCUCGAAGUAAGCAAAGACGCAGUAGAAUGUUCCUUCCGAUCCAUUGAAUUCGUCAAUGCCACAUUCGUCGCUGAGGGAAAUAGAAUUCCCGCGCCAAAACUAUCGAGAAAUACCAAGAUGGGUGUCAAAUUGACUGUAGCAAAGGGAGCCCGAGCAAGGAAAGGUUUGGGAAGGUACCUGCAAGGAAUAGUCAGGGCUCUAAAGCAAGUACACCACAAGGCCCGAUACGAUUUAGGGUUCCAGUCGGACAUGCGUCAAAGAAGAAAGCAGUGGAAGUAAGAUCAGGAAAGAAGGAUCGCAAGAACACUAGGCCGAGAACCAGAAUGAGAGCCCAUGGAAUUCCCUCCUUUGUCAAGAAUAUUUACGUCUACAGGAAUGAUAUACCCAGGGCAGUAUAGUGCACAAAGCACAAUGUUAAUGAUCGAAGAGGGUUUUCAGAAUAUCAGUAUAAAUGUCAUUGACAAAGGAGCUGACGCGAGUAAAGACAUCUCAAAGAUACGCCCUUGUCCCCCGGGUUUCAUGUUAAACAAUUGGACUGCCCAGGAUCUUCUUGUAGUUUAUAAGUCUUCAGAGUAAUGCUCAAACGUUAACAUUCUGUUAUGUCCUCAGAUAUAAUAGAAUUCUUUUUGUAAGAGCUUGUAUUCGCUCUUUAUCAUUUAAAUGAAUAUCAAUGAAGAUGCAUUUUGUCACGAUUUUUUCGCAUUAUCACUAAUUCCAUAAUCAUUUUGUAGCCUAUCUUUACAAUUGCCUCACGUCAUACCAUAACAUUCAGUUUGUUGAUUUCAAUACUUAGAUGCCCCUCUAUAGUUUCCUUUUCCAUUCAACUUUCAGGUGCUCAGAUAUCAACAGCAUGAAUAAACCCGUUACGAGUUCUGAAAUCGAUUUUGAGAAGGCUAUUUGUUUAGGAGAAUUUGAAGUCGAAAAAAAUGCUGAAGACUAUGUCUCGUCUCCUGACUUGCUAAGAAUGGUGGAACAAGAGGAUAAAUAGAUUUUGCCUCAUCAAGAAUCUGUUGAAACAAUAAAUCUGGGAACUGAAGAAAGGAAGCAAGAAGUGAAGAUUGGGACUUCUAUUUCAGGGGGCAGCAGGCAUAAUUUGAUUGCUUUGCUCCGCGAGUACAAAGAUGUAUUCUCAUGGUCAUAUCAGGACAUGCCAGGAUUGGAAGAAGAUGUAGCGGUCUAUAAGCUCCCAUUGAAGCCAGAAUGUAAGCCUAUUCAACAAAAGCUAAGACGGAUAAGACUUGAGAUGUUGUUGAAGAUAAAAGGGGAAGUCAAGAAGCAAUUUGAUGUUGGUUUCCUACAAGCCUCCAAAUAUCCAGAAUGGGCGGCUAACAUAGUCCUGGUACCAAAGAAAGACGACAAAGUGCGAAUGUGCGUGGAUUAUCGUGACCUGAAUCGAGCAAGUCCUAAAUAUAAUUUUCCCUUACCACACAUUGAUACGUUGGUGGAUAACACAGCAAAACAUUCAUUGUUUUCUUUCAUGGACGGAUUCUCGGGGUAUAAUCAGAUCAAGAUGGCCCCUGAGGAUAUGGAGAAAACUACCUUCGUAACAAUGUGGGGAACAUUCUGCUACAAGGUGAUGCCAUUUGGGUUAAAGAAUGCUGGGGCAACAUAUCAGAGGGCUAUGGUGACGUUAUUCCAUGACAUGAUGCAUAAAGAAAUAGAGGUCUACGUCGACGAUAUGAUUGCUAAAUCCCGAGGGGAAGAAGAGCAUGUAGUGAACCUGAAGAAAUUGUUUGACAGACUGAGAAAAUUCCAACUAAAGCUCAAUCCGGCCAAAUGUAUGUUUGGGGCUACCUCUGGAAAAUUGCUGGGCUUCAUUGUCAGUGAAAGAGGUAUCGAGGUUGAUCCAGAUAAAAUAAAAGCUAUUCAAGAGUUACCACCUCCGCGCACGCCAAAGGAAGUCAGAGGAUUUUUAGGGAGGUUAAACUACAUCGCCCGAUUUAUCGCUCAACUUACCAACCAAUGCGACCCAAUCUUUCGACUCCUUCGAAAACAUAAUCUCGGAGAAUGGAACGAGGAGUGCCAAGUGGCUUUUGACAAGAUAAAACAGUAUUUGUCUAAUCCUCCAGUGCUAGUACCGCCAAUGCCGGGAAGACCAUUGAUAUUGUAUUUGACUGUGUUCGAGAAUUCAAUGGGUUGCGUACUGGGGCAACACAACGAGUCAGGAAAGAAAGAAAAGGCGAUCUACUACUUCAGCAAAAAGUUUACUGAAUAUGAGGCAAAGUAUUCGUCCAUAGAUUACUGCAACGCUCUGGUUUGGGUAGCUCGGAGACUCAGACAAUAUAUGUUGUAUCAUACGACAUGGCUAAUUUCAAAGUUGGACCCAAUAAGGUACAUGAUGGAAUCACCUGCACUCUCAGGAAGAAUGGCACGAUGGCAGAUCUUACUAUCAGAAUAUGACAUCAUCUAUGUGAGCCAAAAGUCGAUAAAAGGGAGUGCAAUAGCUGACUUCUUAGCAACUCGAACAACGAAGGAAUAUGAGCCAUUGAAAUUUGAUUUCUCAGAUGAAGACUUAAUAUGCAUUACAGAAAAAGAAUGUGAGUCAUCAAAAGAAAAGUCAUGGGGAUGAGCUUUGACGGUGCAUCGAAUGCAUUGGGGCAUGGGAUUGGAGCAGUCUUAGUAUCACAAGAAGGGAACCAUUAUCCGUUCACUGCCAGGCUGAAUUUCUUCUGUACCAAUAACAUAGCAGAAUAUGAAGCUUGUAUCAUGGGACUUCGUGCAGCAAUUGAACAAAACAUCCAAACUUUAGAGGUAUACGGAGACUCAGCAUUAGUGAUUUAUCAGAUCCGUGGAGAUUGGGAAGUGAGGGAUUCAAAAUUAGUCAAAUACAGUGAUCUCGUGGCAGGGUUGAUUAAAGAAUUCAAAGAAAUAACUUUUAAUUACUUUCCACGAGAAGAAAACCAAUUAGCUGAUGCCCUGGCCACUUUGGCUUCAAUGUUUAAAGCAAACAGAGAAACAGAAAUAAUGCCUCUUCAAAUGAGUAUAUAUGAAGCCCCUACAUAUUGUUUCAGCAUUGAGAAAGAGCCAGAUGGGCAGCCAUGGUUCCAUGAUAUCUUAGAAUACAUCAAGAAUCAAAGGUAUCCCGAGCAAGCAAAUAUGAACGACAGAAGAACAAUCAGAAGAAUGGCAGCGGAUGGGGACAUCCUAUACAAAAGAGGAAAAGAUCAGGUGCUCUUGAGAUGCGUGGAUACAGUUGAAGCCAGAAAAAUACUUAAAGAUGUCCAUGAAGGAAUUUGCGGGACACAUGCCAAUGGUUUCACUAUGGCCAGGAAGAUUAUAAGACUCGAAUAUUACUGGCUGUCGAUAGAAAGCGACUGCAUUAAUUUCGCACGAAAAUGCCACAAAUGUCAAAUUUAUAGUGAUAAAAUUCAUGUAGCCCCUUUGCCCCUUCACGUCAUGACUUCUCCGUGGCCUUUUUCUAUGUGGGGCAUGGACGUUAUAGGGCCUAUUUCCCCAAAAGCUUCCAAUGGACACCGGUUCAUUUUUAUGGUCAUUGAUUACUUCACAAAAUGGAUAGAAGCUACAUCGCUUGCCAAUGUGACGAAGACUGCGGUUUGCAGGUUUUUGAAAAAGGAAAUCAUUUGUAAAUAUGGUUUUCCUAAAAGAAUCAUUUCAGAUAACGCCUUAAAUUUGAACAACAAGAUGAUGAAAGAAGUGUGUGAGCAAUUCCAAAUAAAGCAUCAUAACUCCUCGCCCUAUCGCACAAAGAUGAAUGGAGCGGCCAACAAGAAUAUUAAGAAGAUUAUUGGGAAAAUGAUUGAGACAUAUAAAGACUAGCACGAGAAGCUACCAUUUGCUUUGUAUGCAUAUCGCACAUCUGUACGGACAUCUACGGGGGCAACUCCUUUCUCUCUGGUCUAUGCAUUGGAAGCUGUGCUACCUAUCGAAGUUGAGAUCCCCUCUCUACGAGUCUUAAUGGAGUCGAAAUUAGAGGAAGUAGAAUGGGUUCGAGCUCGAUAUGACCAGUUAAACCUCAUCGAAGAAAAACGUCUAAAGGCAAUUUGUCAUGGAAAAAUGUACCAGAAGAGAAUGACCGCGGCUCAUGACAAGAAAAUACGGCCAAGAGAAUUCCAAGAAGGAGAACUCGUGCUGAGAAAGAUUCUCCCAAUACAAAGAGACCUGCGAGGAAAAUGGGCACCGAAUUGGGAAGGACCAUACGUCGUAAAGAAGGCAUUCUCGGGUGGAGCUUUGAUUCUCACCGAGAUGGAUGGGAAGGAGUUACCGAGUCCAGUGAACUCAGAUGCUGUAAAGAAAUAUUAUGCUUGAAAAAGGAAACCAAGAUAAAAACCCGAAAAGGGCGUCUUAAAAAAAAAGAGAGAGAAAAAAGGGAUCAAGGUGAAAACCCGAAAAGGGCGUCUUGAUUAAACACAAAAGAUUAGGAUGAAAACUCAAAAGGGCAUUCUAAUGAAGCAAACCCGGGCUUAAAGAACAAGGCGUUUUGAACGGUGGGUCAAAUAGUGAGACUACAGUAUUUGAAGCAUUUCUGAAAGCUCGAAAUCUUCUACGCAAGAAGCCAUGCUCGAAAAGAUUCUUGAUUGAGAAACGUGGAAAAUUUCAUGCAUUAAAUAUCUAGAGCAUUUGUAUUCGUUGAAUGCAAUCCCUUUUCUCUUUAUGACACUUUUUUACUAUUAUUGGUUAACUUUCUUUGUUUACUACAUUUGAAAUGAAUAAAUACGAGGUAUCCUUUUGUCCCUACCUGACCAUUUUUUUCAUGCAUCUCAUUAUGUGGUCCGUUUACAUGAUAAAUAGUGAAAUGACAUACUCUAAACAAAAGAAAUAUUAAGCAUUACCCGGGUAAGAAUUUGAUAAGUACAAGAGCCUCAACGCAAGGACAAAAACUCAACCAGGGGCAAAAGAGCGAUAUCUGGGAAAUAUAGAUUAUUCGUGAAGCUUGAGGACAGGUACAGAACCUGAAGAGAAAGUCAAGAGUUGAAACAAUGAACACAUAUCAUCAAAAAUUGUGACGAAAAAGGGAUAUAUGACAGACAUGCCUAAAGCUCAUAUCAUAAUCAUGUAGGCAUAAAUGCAUUUAAGACAAACAUGUGCAUAUCAUGAUGACAUCAUGCAUGACAUAUACAGGUACUCCAGUAGAGUAAAAGGAUGUGAUGAUAGCUGAAAAGACACAUGAAUUCCACCAGAUGACAUGUUUUGGUAUUCUGAUGUUUUAUUUCUGUUUUUCAAAAAUCAACUCAUAUUGCGAGAGGUGAGUUGAGCCUCAGGACAUGCUGAGGUAAUUUCAAUUUCUGUUUUCUUCAAUUUAUGUUUUUCAAAAAUCAGCUCAUAUUACGAGAGGUGAGUUGAGCCUCAGGGCACACUGAGGUAUUUUCAAUUUCUGCUUUUCAAUUUCUGCUUUUCAAAAAAAUCAACUCAUAUUGCGAGAGGUGAGUUGAGCCUCAGGACACACUGAGGUAAUUUCAAUUUAUGUUUGUCAAAAAAAAAUCAACUCAUAUUGCGAGAAGUGAGUUGAGCCUCAGGGCACACUGAGGUAUUUUCGAUUUCUGCUUUCCAAUUUCUGCUCUUCAAAAAAAUCAACUCAUAUUGUGAGAGGUGAGUUGAGCCUCAGGACACGCUGAGGUAAUUUCAAUUUCUGUUUGUCAAAAAUCAACUCAUAUCGCGAGAGGUGAGUUGAGCCUCGGCUCACAUGCUGAGGUCUUUUCAAUUUCUAUUUUUCAAUUUCUGUUCGUCAAAAUCAACUCAUAUUGCGAGAGGUGAGUUGAGCCUCGAGGCACGCUGAGGUAUUUUCAAUUAAUGUUUUUUCAAUUUAUGCUUUUCAAAAAUCAACUCAUAUUACGAGAGGUGAGUUGAGCCUCGGGUCACAUGCCAAGGUAUUUCCAAAAUCUGUUUGGCAAAUUCUGUUUUCAAAAAUCAACUCAUAUUGCGAGAAGUGAGUUGAGCCUUUGCUCACGUGCUGAGCUAUUUUUCAAUUUCUGUUUUUAAUGUCUAGUUUUUAAAAGUCAAUUCAUAUUGCGAGAAAUGAGUUGAGCUCAGGAUCACACACUGAGUAAAGAACAAAGAUUGGAGCCGAUUGAAGGCACCAGAUUUUGUCUCCCUGAAGUUGUAGUGGAGCUGGUCGAGGAUAUCAGAUCUUGCCUUUCAGAAGUGGCAGAAGAGAAGACCAAAACCUUAUCUCACGGAAGCAAUAGAAGAGAAGAUUGAAGUUGUAGAUCUUAUCCUUCUGAAGUUACAGUGAAGCAGAUGGAAGCCACAAAUCUCAUAUCCUUGAAACUACAUUGAAGUAGAUUGAAGCUACAAGGCCCAUAUCAGAAGAUACAAUGAACUGAACCAAAGCUACAAGAUGCGAUGGACUAGUAAGAGACUGCCCGGAAAAGAAGAGCGCCAAAGAAGUCAACAAUUGGCAAGACCGGGCGAAAUUGGCCUUUCAUUAUGUCUUUGCUCUAUUCCCGUUACACGAUAAUGAGCAAAGAGGGGCAGCUGUUGUAGGCCAAUUUUGGCCCAAAUACAACCAAAUACCCACCCCAAUUUCAUCAGCCCAACAUCAUCAAACCCAAUCUAAACCAACAGCCCACCUAAACUAACCUACUAAACAUUUUCCAGCAAAGAAAAAAACCUUAGCCACCUCCCCACUUUCCUCUGACACCAGCCACCAUCACCUGCUCCACCAGUCACCCCCAUAUCCUGCAAAAACAGAGCAAACAAGCAAGACGGGAAAAUAUGGCAAAAGUAAUAAAAAAACUUGUAAAAGAUUGCUAUAAAAAGCCAUUCAAAAAUGUUGUAAAAAGGGGGGUUUAUUUUUUUUAAAAGAAAGAUUGUAACACAGAUAUUGGAAAUAAAAACGGAUACGAAAACAAAAAAGAGAAUGAAGGUUCAAGAGGUUUAGUUUUGUUCUUUUCUUUUCCUUUUUUCUUCUUUUUGUUCUCUGCUUACCUUGUUUUUUUCAUAUUUAUUCAUUGUUUUUUUUUCCUUUUCUUUUUUCAAGAAAACCUUUUUUUAACAAAGAAACAUAAAAAAUUUUAAAGUAGGCGUACCUAGGUUGCGCUCCUUCACUGUCGUCGUUGGCGGUAGGGCGAGUCUCUAAGGAACCCAAUCGACAGAAAGAAAAAAGGGGGAGGGGAAGAGAGCAUGGAAGUUUUUUUUUGUUUUUUUAAGAUUGGGGGUUGAAAAUGAAACACAAAAAAAAAUCUUUGUUUUUAAAUAAUGGUGUUGAAACGGCACUAUUUUGUUUGGUGGGUGGGGUCUGUGCACUUUCCCUAAAAGGGAAAUUUGUGCAUUUAGUCCUCCUCUCUCGCAACCUCAUUCAAUUAACCCCCAUUUUCUAUUUUCUUUUGUUUUUUUAAAUUUGGCCCUCAGAUCUUGUUUGGUUUUCGUUUUGAUCCCUAAUUAACUAUCCAAUAUUUAUACUUUUAUAUCCCAAAUUUUAAUUUGUUUUUAGCCAUGUCCUAAAUCUAUUUAAUUUAUUUAUUAACCUUUUUUUUAAAAUGUUUCAUUUAUAUGUUAUUUCAAAUAUUUUAUAUGUUGUUUAUUUACAUCAUUAUUGUAAAUAUUUUAUAUAUAUAUUUUUUGUACAUUUCCUAAUAUUUUCUUUUAUUGUAGAUAUUAUUAUUAUUAUUAUGAAGUAUCUUUUAUGUACAUAUUAUUUUAUAUUAUUAUUACCAAAUAUAUCAUUUUUUCUUAUUAUUAGUACAUGAUUUGUUUUUAUUUUCUUUUUUUGCAAAUAUCAUUAUUAUUGUUAUAAUAAUUUCUAGUAUUCCAUGUUAAAAUUUUUCAUUAAUGAUAUCAUUGUUUGCGUCGUUUAUCUAUUUUUAAAUUCUCACUUUAGAAAUAUUUUUUUCUUAUGUUUUAAUUAAUUUCAAUAAAUAAAGCAACGCGCCGGUUUAACAUUAAGUCGUAGAUUUUAUCGCUAUGUUGGGUGGAAUUUGUCGGCUCGUGCUAAAGACGGAACACCCUUCUAAAAAACCAAAAAAAAAUAAAAACUAAAAUUUUUCGUCUUUUCAAUCGGAUCACGACUAAAUAUUACAUUGAACUCGUAUUUUUUAAAAUCAAGACAACACGUGUUUAUAAUAUACCAAUUUUGGGCGUCGCGAGGGUGCUAAUACCUUCCCCGCGCGUAACCGACUCCCGAACCUUAUUUUUCUCUGGACUUUUGACGUAGACCUAAACUCGGCCUUCCUUUUGUUUUAAAAAAUAAAUCUAAUAGGUGUCCGAUCACACCUAGGAAAAAGGAUCGGUGGCGACUCCCUCUUUAUUUUAAAAUCAAACUUCAGUUUUCAAGUUUUCAAUAAAUCGCCACAAUUAGCGAUCAAAUCUAAACAUUUUUACGCCGCUACAGCUAUCCAAGUGCAUCAUUGCUAGAAAGGCUUAAAGAUAGCACAUCAACCAACUUUCACUCUUAAGCAUUCCAAACUUCAGAUGCUAACAAUUAGGUUUGAGACCUUCAGAGAAUGUGAUUAGAUGAAACUUUGUUUAACUUUCAUGCAAAAUUAUGUGAUCUCUAACCACGAAUUGACUCUUGGCGAGGAGUAUUCCAAUACAAAAUUGGUGAAGAAGGUCCUCGGAUUGCUCCCUACAAUUCUCCAUCUAAGUGACAACCAUAGAUGUGGCCAAGGACAACGACACGAUGAGAAUUGAUGAGUCACGCGAAUUUAAUAUUAAUCGGGACCACAUCACCAUUUGAAGGGACUUAAAAUGCUUUCUCAAUUAGCUUAAUUUACUCAUUAUGAUCUAAUAAUUCCCCCUAAUUUCUUCUAACACUCAACUCACUUUUAAUGAUUGACACAUUAUUUAUUCUUCUUUGAGUAAUUCUCUUUCCUCCUAACCACACCACCUUUGAACCAAGAGUUAGCCUCCCAUUCUUAUUUAAUAAAUUUCUAAUUUUGUCAAGGCCAUCAUUAAUGUUUGACACUCCUAAAGCUCUAAGAAAAAGUGUAGCUGCAAGGGGAUAGUCAGAGGCUUUGGCAUCCCCUUGGUUAAAUGAAAGAAUUUAACUUUUUUUAACUCUUAAAUGAAUUUUCUAGCUUCCUAGCCCUAUGCUCCUUCCAAGCCGAAUCAAUCACUAAUACAAUGAAAUUAUGUUGCUUUCUAUAUGAUGCUUCUCUUUCCCACCAUUCCCAUAGCUUUGCACUAGCUUUCAAAUUUUGCAUCUUUGGAGUUACCAUAACAUCCCCUUUUGAUGAGACUAAGUCCUCCGAGGAGCUUUCCAUAUUGAGUAAACCACAUCACCAAUAAGCAACCACAAAUCUUACCUCUCUGAUAAGCUAACACAAGCAUGUUUCCAUGAAUUAAAGAUUUCAUGUUACAAGUAUCUCCAUCAAUAUUAACAAAAAUUUCCCACUCUUUAAACGUCCAAAUACCCCCACACAUGCAUGGGUAAACUAGGUCGUGCUAUGUGUAGGGUUGUAGUACAAAAUGAGGGUGGACAUAGAUUUAGGGCCCCUUUGGAUGGGCGGUGUGUUUAUUUGCCGUUAGUGUAAAAACAAUGGUAAUCGUGAGAUUAGUUACUGUAGUGAUACUGUAGUGUGAGACAAAAAGAAAACUAAACGCACCGCACUAGAGAUAAACGCCCCUCUAAAAGGGCCCUUAGAAGUAUUGAAACACUCUAUGCAUGCAUGGGUAUCCCAUAACAUGAUAACUAAUGCUUGGGUUAACAAUUGAGUCAAAUUCAAAUAAUCUAAUUUCUACUCGAGUAGCUAAUGAGUUUAAGCAAUUUUUUUUUAGUUUAACCUUUCUUUUUUGCUUAAUAUUGAAAAUAUCCUGAUUCGAGAUAAACUAAUUAUAAUUAAGGCAUUGUUUGAUAACUCAUUGAAAAAAUUAAAUCGGCAAAAAAUUAAUAUUUUCAAUGAUUUAAAUUUUUAAGCAUGUUUCAUUGAAAAAGGGUUGAAAAUAAUAACUAGAUAGGGAGCUACUUUUCAUUUAUUAUUUAUCAAACAAUCUAAUUAAAUUUCAUACUUAAUUUUAAGUAUGUAAUAUACUAAAUAUAUUUAAUAACUUAAAUUCAGUACUUAAUUUUUCAAUCUAUCAAACAACACUUUAAAAAACAGAAUCAACCUUUUCCUUUUAUCAAGUAAACAAACUCAAAAUCCCAAUUACUUAUCUCUAUUAGAGCUCAAACUUUUAAAAAUAAAACUCAAUCAAACCCUAAUACUAAUCAUUCAUUGAAUUUCAUAGUCCAAGAUUCUUCAUAAAGUUAUAUCUUAAUAAAAGGAAAGAAAAUCCAACCUGAAUUCUAUAUCCUAAUUAGGACUAAUUCAAAAUCAUGAAUAGGUUUUUUACCAUAAUUGAACCAUCCUUCAUUAUUUAUAUAUUUUUACAUAUUCAUUAAAAUGAAUUAACCAUCUUUUGUCGAAAAACUAUUGGUAGGAAUAAUGUUUUUUUUAAAAAAUAAUUUUUUAGUUUUUUUUUUCAUAAUCAAGUUUACAUUUGUGUUGCAUUUGUAAUUUUAGUCAAGAUUUAGGAAGCAAAAGUUAUGUGUUAAUUUAAUUAUUUUUAAUAGAUGAUUUUCAAUAAAUUUUACUUAUAUCCUCUCUUUUUUUAUAUUUUUUUUAUAUAUUUGCAAGAAACGAGAUGUAUUAAGUCGACCUAUUCGUGACUCAAGAAAACUAUAGAAUAAAAUUGUAAGAUUUUUCUUUUUUUUUUCUUUUUAAAUUUCAAUGAUCAUAUUUAUUCUUUUUGAUACAAUGCCUAGAACUAUCCUACAAUGACAACAGUGCCGAUAUCAAUCGAGUUAAGACUCAAUCGACAAAUCUAACCACUUGUUUGGGACAAAUCCUUGCUGAUUUUUUACUACAAUCUAUUUCACGGUAGAGCCAAUGAGUGUUAGGGGUAGUUGUUUAUAUUAUAUAAGUUUUAAAGUUAUAUUAUUUAUUUAAUUUAAUGGCGUGAAUAAUUGUUUUUCCUUUAAAAUAGUUAAAAACCCUGAAAUGAUUAAUCUCCGUCAAAUGAAAAAUGAAUAAUUUUAAAACGUAAAAAACUUUGAAGGGGCCUACAAUUUUACCAUAUCUUUCGAUCAAAUAACUCGUAACUCAAAACGGGUUUAUAGAAUUGAGAGUGUCAAGACCUCUACCUGCCCCGUUAGCUAUAUCAUUAUUCAUCCAACUGAAACUAUCAUUUAAUAUAAAAAAUAUUAGUAUCAUUUUGUAAUAUUUUAAUAUAUUUAAACAGUAAGAUAAUUUUUUAAAUAUCUAAUUGAACCGAACUUGACCUAACUCGACUCAAUAAUUAUGCAUUAGGAUCAACAUAUGGAAAAAGAGGGUGAAAACGCAGGAGACUCAUCCUCCUCAGAAGAAGAAAGCAAUGGAACUCAACAAGAACUUGAUGAAUCCCAAACAUCAAUGGGUCAAAGGUGCAAAUUAAUUAUAUUCUUAAUUUUAUAUUUUGAUAAAAAUUACUUAAUUAAAUCUCAUUUAUUCUUGUUCAUAUUUUUAAUUGUUUAUGUACCAUCAGAUCUUCAGAGAUAAUUGAAAGCAUCACAACCCAUCCAUCACUCCCAAAUCAGCCUUUGCAACAACCAAUUAUUUCCCCUUCAAUUUACAAUUCAAGUACUAAGGUAUUAUCACAAUACUUUGAUCAUCUAUUACACUAUCAUAUUAUAUGUAAUUUGAUUUCGUUUUAAUUGAUUUAUAAAUUUUUUAAGAGUUGGUAUUAAAGAUGGCAACAUAGUGGGGGAGGUAAUUUUUUGCCCACCUCGAUAUAGUAUUUUGAUACUUUAAAAUUGAUCUGAUUUCGAUUUCAAUAUAAUUUUAUGUGUUUCAAUCCAACUCCAAAAGUAAAUAAAAUACCCAACCCCGACCUGACUAAUAUGUCACGUUUUCAAUUUAUUAUGCAUUUUAUUAAAAUAUAACAGUAAAAUCUAAAAUAUAUUUUUGAGUUUUUCCGUAUAAUGCAAUAGAAAGUAACAUAAAACCCUACAUAAAGUUUUUUUUUUUUUUUGAAACAAAACCCUACAUAAAGUUAUAUGCUAUAUAUAGGAGUAUUUUCUUAUAAGUAUUCCAAAGGGAGGUUGAGUUUUCCUAAACUCAAUUCAACUCGAAAUUGAUUCUCCAAAAAUAAUUUUACCCUAAUAAAGUUCAAAGAUGCUCUAUAAAAGAAUAAUUUUUUAAAAUAUUAAUCUCAAUAGGUUCUUAUCAUAUCUGCUUUUUUUAUACAAUGCUUAGAAUUAUUUAUAGUCCCUCUCCAACCAUUAAAUAAUAAGAUAUUGCGCUUCAACGCACUAGUACCUACGUCCUCCUGCACUAACAAUAACGUCGAUGCCAAUCAAGCUAAAACUUAAUUGGCACAAAAGAAUUCUUCAAUAAAAUGAGUUUGGCAAUUAUACUAAAAAAAAUAUCUAUGUAAUUGACAUGUCUUUACUUUGUUAAUUUAUCAAUUUCUUUAAUAAUAUAAUCUUAAUAAGGUAACUUUUAUAAGCACAUUAGUAAAUUUUAAAAUUUCAAUAUCAAAAGUAAAUUUUUCUUUUUUUUUUCCCUUUCAUUUAUUAACUAAAGUAUGUAUUGCUUAACAUUUUGAUAGGCAAUGGAGUGGUCACAUGAUGAAAGGAUUCAAUCACACAAUCAUGAGCAAAACAAUGUUGUUGAACAAUUACUUCUGUAUGUCUUUUAUUUCUAAAUAUCCCAAUUAUGCUACCCCUUAUUUUAAUUUAUUAUGCUACCCCUUAUUAAACACAUAGGACGAAGUCAGAACUUUCUUUUAAGAGAGGUAACUAAGUUAUAAAUUUGUGGAAAAGUUAAAGUGUAAUUUUAUUAAUGUGUUGAUAAGACAAAGAUUGAUCUGAAUUGAGUCUAGUUUAAGGUAAUUUUUUGAUAAUUUGGAAAGGAUUUUAUUAUUAUUUAAGUAAUUACUUUUUCUAUUUAAAUUUAAUUAUAAAAUAUAUAAAUUUUGAUAUGAAAUUAAUUUUUUAAAUAAUUUAAUAUAAACUAAAAAUAUUAAAAUAGAUCUUGAAGUAUUACUUUUUUUUUAAAUAAUUCCUUAUACCUUCAUAGUACCCAAAUAAUUUUUUUUCCUUUUAUUUGUACCAAAAUUUAUAUUUUCAUAUAAAUUAAAGAUUCAUAAAUAUUGUAAUUUUUUGUUGCAUUGAAUUAAAAUUUUGAAUGUAUUUGAUAAAGAUAUUAAAUAAAAAAUAGUUUUGAUAUAUUUACUUAUCACUUAAUGUUGAAAAUGUUAAGAUGAUUUAGUUUUUUUUUAAAUUAUCUUUUAAAAAAAUUAUCUUUUAAUUUUCGUUAAAAAUGAAAUAUUUAAAUUAUUGUAUAAUUAAAUUUUAUUUUAUAUUAUCUAAAAUAUUAUAAAAUAUUAUGUUAAUUAGAUUAAAAUUAUGAAAUAAAUAAUUUUUAAACAUCUAGAUUUACUAUUAGCUUUAGAGGUUGUUCAGAGAUAGAACCCAAGACUAAUUUUUAAGUAUUCUUCACAUUCAUUUUAUGGCCCAUGUUCGGUAUUUUGUGGCUACCCUUCCAGAUAAUGUUGACUUUAAGGUUCGAAUUAGCAUCUCCUCUUGAGAAUAUAAUGUGUAUUAUCAUUGCAUUCAACAUUAAUUGGUAAAACAUGAUAUUGAUGUCAAUUUAAGGGGCAAGACCAAAAAUGAAAAAAAUUAUUAUACCACCCCUUAAAAUUUGUUCAAAUUAUAAAUAAAUAUAUGGUCAGAUUGCACUUCCCUGCCCCAAAUGAAAAAAAAUUCCAUUGAGUCCUUUAAAAUAUAAUAAAAUUACAUUUUGACCUCACAAAAAUUUAUAUUUCAGUUCUACCCAAAAGUUUCUGGAUUGCACUUGAAUUUGAGUAUACUCAAGCAUAUAAAAUUAAGAGCAACAAUCCACAUAUUUGGAUAUUAUAUAUUUGAUGAAACUUGUAUCCUCAGGUCCAAAUUUAUCAUGAACAAAUUGUACGAUCCAUCGUAUGAAGCCAUGGGAUUGCCAGUGGAUCCUCAUCUAAGAAUGUUUCAAGCAAAAUAUGGUAAUGGUAAGUUCCAUUUACAACAUCAAUUAUAUAUGUUUUAGAUAAUUUUAUGACCAUUCUUUCCAAUUGAAAAUUAAAAUAGAAUGUGUUGAAAUUAAUACAACUGUGGCUUUGUGUUUUUCAUUUGAUUCUUUGUAGCUGCAGAAAACAAGGAUAAGGGUAAUGAGGAACAUCGUUGAUUCGAGACCUUUUAAAAAUUAUAGUUUGUAUUGCUUAUUUAUAGAAACUUUCGAGCUUGUUGCGUGAAAAACUACAUUCAUGAUUUUGCUUUGUUUUAAUUUGUUUGAUGAUGAAUUACAACUUUGGUUUUAAUAAGUUUGAGAAUGAUGGACUAAAAGGAAAGCGGUAUUAAGUUUUUGAAGGGUCUAAUUAUAAUUUUUAAAUAUUUUUAGAGUUAAAUGCGAAUUUUUAAGUGUAUAAUUAAAAUGAAUGUUAGAUAUAAAUACGUAUUUGGUAUAAUUAUGUUUUAAUUUAAUAAGAACACACUUAUGUGUAAUUUGAAUCGAUACAAGAAUAGUUAUUCUUUUAUAAAGCAAGCAACCAUUUAAUAGCAAUAUAGUAUCUCCAAACAAAUAUUGAGUGUAGUAGUAACAUACAUUGUAUUUUAAAAGAGAAUAUAAGUUCGAACAUUGAAGAUGACAUGAUUAAGAGGGACAACCACAUAUCCCCAAAAGAGUUAGUCUUUAUGGACCGUACAACGAACAUGUCAGACAUUGCCAACUUAGAAUUUGGCAAAUUCUUGCACCCUGAGAGUUUCUAGUUUCUCCAAACCAAUACAAAUGAAUAUCUCCAAGCAUUUCAACUUCAUGUGAGAAACAGCAUGCUUUGCAUUCACUAGACUGAAACUAUAAUGCGAAUGGAGGCACUUGAACGACGUGCAGACGAAUAAAAUGGUAUCGAACCGUUCAUCUCUAAUAUCAACAUGUAUCAAGAAAAGCUAUCUUAGAAACUCGAAACGAUUAACAACAUUCAAAGAUGGCGUACGCACGAAGAAUACAUAAUCCAACUGCUUUAAAUAAGGCUCUACUCCCUUCUUUUUAUCGAAGAGGUCGAGUGGGAUAGAGUACUUCUUAGUGAAGUAUGGAUUGAAAAGUUUAUUGCAAAAACAACCAAAGAUCAAUAUGACAACUAAAACAUUCCCUAAUGGAGCAUGAAUGCCAAAUUUCAUGUGGUUUUUGACCUUGGUGAAACCUAAGCACUUCGUUAACCACUUGUAUGUAUCUAUCCUUGUAAGGUUUAUAUACUUUAGAGCUUACAAGAUCUCUGCCAUUAGAAGUGUUUAUGGGCCAAGUUCAAAUCAGACCUAGAUAUGAUAUUAACAUAUUUGAUAUUUGUCUAAAUUCGGUCUAACUCAAAAUAUGAGUCUAAAAUUUUGUGCAAACCCGCCCAUAAUUAUAAAUGGGUAAUUCAAACUCAUCUUAAGUCCACCCAUAUUAUUUUUAAAAAAAAAUUAAUUUAAUAUUUAAUAGUUAUAAUUUUUUAUUUAUUAAAAUUUUAUAUAAAGUCAUCUGAACACUUUUUAAUGUUUAUAUUAUAGUAGUAUAAAUUUUUUAUAUGUUAUAAAUUACAUAAUAUAUAAAAAUAACAUAAUAUAAAACAUUACAAACUUUAAAAAAAAUAGUCAAUUUGGGUCAAGCCGGGUUCGUGCUUCUAAUGUUCAAGCCCGAGCCCGGCUCUUAUUUUAAACGGGCUUAAUUUCUUACCUAAACUCACUUUUGGAGGAUAAUAUUUUUACCCAAACUCUCUUAAAUAUAAAUAUUCAAACUUAAGUAAAUAACUCAACCCAUAAAUAGUUCUAUUUCUUCAAAUCUAAAGUUGAGAUAAGGGAUGGAUGCCCAUAAAUAUCACCAUCUUCAAGGAUGCCAGUGAAAAUUACUUUCUUGAAUGUCAAUAGUGAUAAAAUGAUUAAAAGGAAAUUUUUGACAAUUCACAAAUCUUAUCUUCCAAUCUCAUCCUUUUGCAGCCCUGUUUUUCCAUACAAUUUUUGUUAUGUACUUUGGAGGGAAACAAAACCAUGAAAUAUAAAAUCAUAUAUGAAUAAUAUGAUGAUGAUGAUGAUGAUAAUAUAACUAGGUACCAUCACUAAUUAAGAAAAAGGGCAAACUUGUGUUGGAUCUAACAUAUAAGAACAGUAAAAAAACACAUUAAAAUUAAUUUAAUUGUUUAUGAUACCAAAAGAGGGUAUGUAGAAGAUUGAGGUCAAUUCAUCUUGACUGGGCGGAGAGUUAUAUGGAUUGAGUGGUGGAAGAAGCCUAUGAAAGAAGAAAAGUUUUGGAGAAGAAGGUAGCGCAGUUGGAGUUUGGAUUAGAGGGUCUGUCUACGUGCAAGCUUUAAGGUUGAGAGGGGGUAUUUGUAUCAUUGUAUGGGUUUGACCUCUCUUGCAUUGUGUAAUCCCUUGAUAAGCUUGUUAACCUCUUCCAUGGUUCCUUGUUAUAUCAAUAAUACGAUAUGAGGUGAUAUGGCUAUAAAGUAUAUGGGUGACAUAUGAUAAAAUAAUAAUACGAUAUGAGGUGAUAUGGCUAUAAAAUAUAUGGGUGACAUAUGAUAAAAUUAAAAAUUAUAGAAAAACUAAUAUUCUCGUAAAUCGUAAUACAUCAAAAUAUUCUUAUUUAAAACAAAAUCGAAAUUAAUGUUAAUAUCUAGAAAUUUAUAAAAUUAUAAAAAAAUUUGUUGAAAUAAUAAUAGAAAAUUACAAAAAAAAGCUAUACAAAUUAUACAAAAUUAGAAAAACUAUUAGAAUAUUUAAAAAUAUUAAAUAUAUAUAAUUUUAUAUAUAGUCUCGAUGGUCUAUUACCCUCUAAAUCUAUUUCAACAGCUUAUCUCAAAACACUAUCUAUUCAUUGCGCAUCACUAUUCUUUCUAAGAAACCUCUUUAUAUAUACAUAUAUAAUUCCUAUUACAAUAAUAAUUUUAUCAUUAUAAAUCAAAAUAUAUAUGAAAAUCAUGAAAGAAAAUGACAAAAAGUGAGCUAAAAAUGUUGGGACUAUUGUUUAUCAUGAUAAUACUAUCAACGAUGAUAUUUGAGGUAGUAACGUGUAUGUGAUGAUCGUGGGAGGGAGAACAUUAGUGAACAACAUGAAUAUGUAUAAAGGUGUUCAAGAACUAAGGAGAUUCGUGAUGGACGAGCAAAAUAAAGAUCAACAGAACUAUGGUGGAAGGAUGGCUUCGAUAGAAUUUUCUCAAGCGGUAGAUGCUAAGUGUUGCAGGCCAAUUUUGGCCUACCAUAAAUUAAACCCAUUUACAACAAGAAAAAAACCAAAACCCAUCUAAAUUAACGCACACUUAGGCCACAUUUAACCCUAGCCCUAACUCAAAAAAAAAAUCAAGAAACCCUAGCCACCU